UACGGAGGGAGCUAGCGUUGUUCGGAAUUACUGGGCGUAAAGCGCGCGUAGGCGGCCUUCUAAGUCGAACGUGAAAUCCCCGGGCUCAACCCGGGAACUGCGUCCGAGACUGGAAGGCUCGAAUCCGGGAGAGGGAUGUGGAAUUCCAGGUGUAGCGGUGAAAUGCGUAGAUAUCUGGAGGAACAUCGGUGGCGAAGGCGGCAUCCUGGACCGGUAUUGACGCUGAGGCGCGAAAGCCAGGGGAGCAAACGGG
rnacentral:rRNA from 1 species